GAAUUUGGGUCGGCUUCUUGGAUAUUUUGGUAAUCAUUUAUGAACUCCGGAGAUCUUCUCCAUACAAAAUAUACCCAUAUUACAUGGUUUUGGAACCUGAAACUGCUUAAAACAGCUGGAUCUUGGAUUUCGGACCACCAGCUUGAAUAUUAUGGUCAGCAUUUUAUGACUUUGGACAUCUUCCCCAUACCAAAUAUUCACAUAAAUAUUGCAUAGUCCUUAAAACAGUUGCCAUCUUGGAUUUUGGGGCCACCACCUUGAAUAUUCUGGUCGCCAUUUUUGGGCUUUGGGCUUCUUCUUCAUCUAUCUUCUACAGUGAUCCCACACCGUUGAAUCACCCGCAGUUUAUUAAUCAGCUGUGUUUAAACGACCAAUUUUGACAGAAAAUUAUAGUUUUGAAUCGAAAAACUAUUUUUGUAAUAUUAGUUCCACUAUUCUUUAGAAAAUCAUAUGAUAUUUUACCCCGGUGUGCGCUUUUAUUGUGCGAAAUAAACAAAAAAUGUCAACGUGUUCCAUUCGUUGUUUAUGUUGUCGAUUUUUUAGCUGCCCGCACAAGACGUCGGUUCGUGAGCGCUAAGUUUGAAACAAGUUUCGGAAAGUUUUGCUAAGUUUUUUCGAAAAAUUCGAGUUGGAGUCUACGUAAACAGGUAUGAUUAACAUAUUUCUUAUAAAGAAGUGUUGUAUAUCACCAGUAAAAUUAAAAAUUUUGAGUGAAAAGAGUGAUUCGUAAAUAGUGGGGAAAAUUUGCAUCUGGCACGAUUUAUGAAUCAGAGAUUACGAAUGCGAGGAGGACAUAAAUUAAUUAUUUCUUUUCCUAAUUUUGAUAGGAUGAGUGCAAAGACCAUUAAGAAACACUCCGCCCGGGUCCGGAAACAGUAUGAUCCGGAAACAUUCGAGCGUGCUGUCAUUCUGGCAAGUAAAACAAAAAAUGUGCGAAGUGCAGCGAGACAAUUCAAUGUGCCUAGCUCGACACUGCUGCGUCGUAUAAACAAUAAAGCGUUAAAACAAACAGGACCCAGGACAAUUCUGAAGCCGGAAGAGGAGAAGCGCAUAGUGAAUUGGAUUCUUUACAUGGGAAAAGCAGGCUUUCCCGUCAGUGCAGCAGAUUUGACGAGUACCGUGAGUGAUUACGCCAAAAAGAUCAGGAAAACUCGUCAGAUUCCUCCAUCGUUUCCAAGUAAGAACUGGUGUCAAAGGUUCCUGGAGAGGCAUAACAACAUAAGGAAGAAAUACGUCACCAAGUUAUCGAAGGCUGGUGCCAAGGUUACGGAACAACAACUUCGUAAAUGGUUCCUGGAAGUUGAAGAAACUUUGGCUGAAGAGAACGUUGACAUGUCCAUUUUCAACCAGCCUCAAAGGAUCCUGAACCUCGACGAAUCUGGUUUUCAACUGACCCCCAACGAAUAUAAAGCACUUUGCGGACAAAACGUACAGAAUGUGUACUCCGUAAUUAACAACUCGGAUAAGGAAUCCUACACUGUGCUUUUCGGAUGCACUGCAGCUGGCGACCUAACUCCACCAAUGAUCCUUUAUGCGGGCCAAAGAAUCAGCAAAGAGAUUGCCGAAAGUAUCCCUGCAGGGUGGACAGUAGGCGUAUCGGACGAAGGAUGGCAGACCACCAAAACGUUUUAUGAAUACGUAGUAAACGAUCUGUACAAAUGGCUGGUGGAACGAGGGACUGAAUUUCCUGUUGUUAUAUUCGUGGACGGCCAUAAAAGCCAUGUCAGCAUGGAGCUGGCUGAAUUUUGUGUGAAGCAUCGGCUCAUUAUCAUCUCCUUGUACCCAAAUUCAACCCGGAUUUUGCAGCCCUUGGACAAACUUUAUUUUGGUCCACUGAAGAAAAUCUGGUUCAAAGUCCUCAGGCAGCACCUCCUAGCUGACAAUAAUGCCAGAGUAACAAAAACCAAUUUCGGAAGGCUUGUCAAAACUGCGGUCGACAACUUCACGAAUUCCAAGGAUUGUCUCAAAAAAGCUUUCAAAGUUUGCGGACUUUCUCCCUGGAAUGUCAACGAAAUCGACUUCAGUGAGCUGCCGGCCAACGCUACCCAGCCCGAAAAUCUAACAUCCGAUGAUACACUGCCCUACGAACCACUGACGAACGCUCAUCUGGUGCAGUUAGAACAGGUUGAGCUUGGGCUUCAGCAAGCUCAACUCGCCAGAUUCACUACAAAUAGAGACAAGGAUUUUUGGUACGGACCGUUGGAAGAGCUGGCCUUGUUCAAUUUCUGGAAAAGUAUCAAGGACAAAUCGGAAGGUCUCAUGUAUACGGAGCCCUUGAUUCCAUUUCAAAGCCUAGCAGUGGAUCUUAUGAUUGAUAAUGGCGGAGAAUGUGUCAUUCAGCCACUUGAACACAUCGGUAAUCAUUCCUUUAUCACAUCUGAUGAUCUUAGUACGAUCGUUGACUCAACUACGAAUUCAAUCACGGAAGUCGAAUUUGUAAAUUCCAUUCAGGCUAGUGACGGUUUCCGUAAGUAUAAAAAAUAUAGAAAAACUAAUAAAAAAAUAACUUAUUUUCAAAAUCUAAUUUUUACAGUCGCUGCGCAAAAUGUCAACAAAGAUCCCGUUGCAGGCCCAUCUGGUAGUGUGGGAGAUACACUAUCCGCUAAAGUCAAUUCAGAAAACGACGUCUCAAUGAAUGCUAGCAAUGCUGAAAAUAGUUCUAGCUCCAGUAACGAAGACAGCACGCCUAUCAUCCCUUGUAAUGAAGACCCGUUCGAGGGCAUUCUGGUGUGGCCAAGGGUUAACGAGAACACCCACGGAAAAAAACGGCGUAAGCAGGAGCACGUGCCCUCGGUUGCCACAAGUGAUAGGUGGCUGCAAUGGUACAACAAAAAGGAUUCGGAUAAGAAACAGGAAGAGCUUGCAAAGAAAAAUCGGAUUGAAAAACGAAAGUUGAUUAAACAACAAAAAGAAGAGCAAAAGGAAGAACAGAGACAAGAGAAGAUCGAGAAAAAGAGGCAGAGAGAUGAAGAGAAGGAAUUGAGGCUGGCGAAUAAGGAAAAUGCAAAAAGAGCUAAGACUGUGAAACCGUCUAAACGCAAACAAAACUCCAAUGAUACGAACACCAAGCGUUUCCUCAAAAUCAAAAUCGGUUAAUUUGAUGAAUUUCUGCCAUGUAACCGAAAACAAGUCAUAACAAUACACAUCUCAAGUGAUAAAUCGAUAAAUCUAACCCUAACCAGAAGCAGAAUUGAAAAUGUUUCAUAAGACUGUUGCUAUGAUUUUUUUUAAAUUUUUAUCUUUUAUUUAAAUAAAUUGUUAUUUGCAUAAUAUGUACCUGAGUUGUUAAGCUAAAUAAAUCCAAUUGAUUAGCUUUUAAAUGUGGAUUUUGCUUAGAAAAACAAUAAAAUUAUGAGAAAUUCUAAGCAACUGUACGAUAACUUUUGUGUCCUGUCCAUGUCACGCUUUGUUACAUUGGGAAUCCUAAUUUUAUGUGACGGUCAUUAAGUUUGUCGAACCCUCUCCAGCUACCCCAAACCUAGAAGCGUCAUGAUCUCGCUGAAUAGAUGUAGAACGUCCAUAAAUUAUAUAACGUUCCAAGGGGGGGGGGGGGGUUUAUAGGGUUCAGCAAAGAGUGACGAAGCAUACAAAAAUUUCAGAGGUCUCAUAUGAAAAGUGUGAAGAAGGGGGGAGUCGAAAAUGAACGAUUUUUGUGUGAAGCAAUUUCUGGACGUUCCCUAAGCGUUUACCAUCUGAUUUUUAUGGGAUUCUCAAGCAAAAAAAGCUAUGUACUCUAUUUAAUACAUUGGCGUUUUGUGCCAUCGCCACACUAUAUGAUCUUUAUAUUCAGUGUUUGACAUGACCACUUCCGUUAAUACACUUCGAACUCGAUUCCAAUCCAUCGACAUAGUUAGCUAUUGUAGUUUAGUAGAGUAUUGUACCAUUUGGGCAGGUGUACCUAUUUUGGGCACUUGCCGCUAUAACUAAGUCAAUUUCAUACGGA